rnacentral:rRNA from 1 species
CCUACGGGAGGCAGCAGUGGGGGAUAUUGCACAAUGGGGGGAACCCUGAUGCAGCGACGCCGCGUGGGUGAAGGAGCGUUUCGGCGCGUAAAGCCCUAUCGGCAGGGAAGAAGAUGACGGUACCUGACCAAGAAGCCCCUGCUAAAUACGAGCCAGCAGCCGCGGUAAUACGGAGGGGGCAAGCGUUAUCCGGAUUGACUGGGUGUAAAGGGGGCGCAGACGGAGAUGCAAGCCAGGAGUGAAAGGCCGGGGCCCAACCCCGGGAGUGCACUUGGAACUGCAUGGCUGGAGUACAGGAGGGGCGGGCGGAAUUCCUAGUGUAGCGGUGAAAUGCGUAGAUAUUAGGAGGAACACCGGUGGCGAAGGCGGCCUGCUGGACUGUGACUGACGCUGAGGAGCGAAAGCGUGGGUAGCAAACAGGAUUAGAUACCCCUGUAGUC